rnacentral:rRNA from 1 species
UACGUAGGGGGCAAGCGUUGUCCGGAUUCAUUGGGCGUAAAGAGCUCGUAGGCGGUUUGUCGCGUCUGCUGUGAAAACCUAAGGCUCAACCUUGGGCUUGCAGUGGGUACGGGCAGACUAGAGUGCGGUAGGGGUGACUGGAAUUCCUGGUGUAGCGGUGGAAUGCGCAGAUAUCAGGAGGAACACCGAUGGCGAAGGCAGGUCUCUGGGCCGAUACUGACGCUGAGGAGCGAAAGCGUGGGGAGCGAACAGG